UUUUUUUUUUUUUGGCUGCACCAGCGACAUGCAAAAUUCCCAGUCCAGGGAAUGAACUUGUGUCACUGCAGGAAUGAGCGCUGCAGCAGUGACAAUGCCAGGUCCUUAGCGCACGGAGCCACCAGGGGAACUCUGACAGGAAUUCUUUAUUCUACAUUUGCAACUCUUCUGAAAGUCCAAAACUGUCUCCAAGCAGGUUUUUAAAGUAUUUACAGGAGUUCCCACUGUGGCUCAGUGGAAAUGAAUCUGACUGGUAUUCAUGAGGAUGUGGGUUCGAUCCCUGGCCUUGCUCAAUGGGUUAAGGAUCCGGCGUUCCGUGAGCUGGGGUGUAGGUCACAGAUCUUCGGCAACACCAAAUCCCUAACCCACUGAGGGAGGCCAGGGACUGAAACGCAUCUUCAUGGAGACUAGUCAGGUUCUUAACCCGCUGAGCCACAAUGGGAACUCCUCUAUCAAAUAUUUUAAGUCGAUCCCCUUUGAGAAGAUCAAACGUGGCCGGGAAGACGCUGUUGCCAUUUCCGAUCAUUUGAAAUGUACAGCCAACACACAAAGGUGACCCUGUUCUUUUGACUUUUGAAGGUAACUGUCAUGCAUCUUUGAUUUUGUGUUUGGUGCCCUUCAAAAGAUGUCCACAGAUGCCCAGGAAUGGACACGUUCCUAGUUAUUUUUGGCUUUUAUUCCCUACACCCCCUAACCUCUCGCCCUCCCCAUACAAGGUCCCUUUGCUCUGGAUUUAACUCCCGCAGGAACGGAAGUCAGCAUCUUAGCCUGGAUGUGUCCUCAGCUGCUCCCCAAAGGCUUUGGAGAGAGUGCCAGGCUUCACUGAUGCUUUGGGGGGGCAGAGGGGUUUCACAUCUCAGACACGCCCUCGCUCGGAGGUGACCAUGCCUACUCUGGCUCUUGAAAGAACGUCUUGCAGCUGCUCCUGGAGGGUCUCCACACCCUACUCCACAGCUUCUAGCUUCCCUCGCCCCUGUCUCCCAACCUCCUCCCCUCUUCUCUGCUCUGCUCGGCUGCCUGGGUACAUCCUACUCAUGGACAUUCUGUUUUCUCCUCUGUCCACAGGGAUGGGUGUUCAUGCAGAAAACAGAAGUCCUGACUCAGACUGGAUCACACAGAAAUAAAACGUGGUGACUCCCACCACCGGAAACCCCCAGGUGGGUGCUGCAGUGUCUCCCAACUCUGUGGAUGUUGCUUAAUUUCUCUGAUUCUCUUCCCUCUGCUCUCCCCUCCCCUGCACUGGCUUCCUCUCCAGCAGGCAGCAAAGGGGCUGCAGCAUGUGGGUGACGGACCACCUCCACUGAAAUGCAAGGGAAGGACUUCCUGCAGCCCUCCCAGAAAAAGAAAACUUUUACCAGCAGCUUUUAGAAAGAGACACGUACGUAUCAUCAGUGCGUGUUGUUAUUUUCCUAUUCUUUUUUGUUGCUGUUUUUUGUUUGGGGGGUUUUUGGCUGCCAAUGGCAUGCAGAAGUUUCCCAGGCCAGGGAAAAAGCUUGUACUACAGCAAUGACAAUGCCAGAUCCUUCACCCGCUAGGCCACCAGGGAACUCCGCGCUUUCCUAUUCUGAAACCAAUCUCUGUGGGCCAGGAGAGUCCCAAAGCUUGAGAUGGCUGAGGUCCGGGUACCCAGGGACUGUGACAUGUGUGAGUUAGAACAGGAGGUGGAGAAUCGAGACCCACAGACCAACCCCACCCCACUGCCUAGUUUGGCAAAGAAACUUGGUAAACACACAUUUUUUUUGGAAUAUAGCCAAACCCACAUGGCUCUCGCUUGCCAAGGACCAGCUUUGUACCACUGCAGAGUUAGUAGCGGCAAGAGAGACCAUAUGCCCCAGAGAGCCAAAAUCCUGGCUCUUUACAGGUCAAGUUUGCUGACCACUGGCUGAGACAGCCCUGGACUCAUCUCAGUGCUCCCCCACCAUCUGCCUGCUCUAUGGAUGUGACAGAGACACGACAGUCCCUGCCACCGUCCAAUCCCUAGGCUAAGCAACAUCACCAAGCAACGAGGCACUCUGUUAUGGCAGCCCUUCUCUUUUCCAUGGCUCAGAUUCACUUUCUUUUAUAAAAUCAUCACGUAGUAAGUCACUCUCGUUGCCUUACUGUCUUUCUCUGCAAAAUUAAAAGUGUGCAAGCCUCAGAGAGCCUCUCUAAUUUUCCUUUAUUAAAUUUCAGGAGGAAGUGAAAUCCUAAACUGUAAAGUUCCUCUCUCCCGGUGUGUCCCUGAUUUCUCACAGGAGCCCUGGACGUGAGUCCUCCCAAACCCCAGCAGCUUCUGCACUAAAAGCCAAAGGGGUUUCGUGCCAGCAAACAAGGUGGGUACGUUCUCACGAAUUUUCUGAUAAACACAGUCUCAGAAAGGCUGAACGAAAGGCAGCGUCCAUAGUCUGCAAAGUUCGAUCCUUCUCCAAGAAGGCUAUGUCAUCAAUUCUCAUUGGUUAUGUUCCGUUCAUGAAAAUAAACAAUAAGCAACUUUAAGAACCGAUACAGUAACUGCUACUCUGAUCAGCAGGGACGGUCAAAAGGCUACAUACACACAUAAAAAAGGUGAUACUGACACUCUCACCGCCCUUAGUUUCAAAAGCAGUUCUAGAAUUUACCAUGUCAUCGACAUGACCCCUAAUUAUAUGAAAUGGAAAUAAUCUCCACCUAAGAAUCUAAUGGUAAAAUGACCGAUGAAAGAAGCAGCUACUCGCCAACAUGAGGUCAUCCUGGAAGCACACAAACCUUUUUUUUUUUUUCUUCUUUGUAAAUA
rnacentral:lncRNA from 1 species